GGUCGAUUUCUGGCCGAAACCGAAAGCGAAGGUUUGAUAACCCUAAGAAAUUCAGUUCAAGAUUGGCUAAAAGUAAAUAAAAUAAUGUUUUUUUUUUUAAUUUAUUGUUGAUUGUUUUAA